GAGUUCCGAAAUCGAGUAUUGAAGUUACUCGCUAUGUGACACAAGCAAUACACAUGAUGUGCAUCUGAUGAUUGCCAGCCAAGAUAUCCAUUCUGCAAAGCUGACAAUAUAUCUGAAUGUCGAUCUGAAAAAGACAUAUACCACGACAUGAUGUAAUACAAUAUCUAAGACAAGCCAAGAACCAGCCCUAUAUAUCAGUAGACUCCUCAUCUACUAUAGCAAAGGUAAGUGAAAAUAUUUGAUUGUUUUCAUCAAUAGCUAUUGCAAUCAUCAGCUUCUUUCGAUAUUUUUUGUACA
rnacentral:lncRNA from 1 species